UUUCCACUUCUUUUUCAGUGGAUGCAUGCUGAUGAUGAUAGAAUAGUUAUACUUGUGCUUGAAAGGGUUCAGACAAUUAUCAAGUUAACCUGGAUCAGGAACACACCUUAUAACGAAAGAUUGGUAGAAGAGCUUACUGUUACCCAUAAAGAAGCAGCUCUUAGAAGAUCUCGUGAAGAAAUCCGAAACCAAGUUCUUCAGAUUCUGGUCUUGCUUCAUAAAUGCAAGGGCACACAGUUUGAAGCAGUCUGGGACAAGUACAGGGACGACCCAAACUUAAGAACUCUUUCAUAAUUUUUAUGCAAAGAGACUGCGGCUGUGGUUGCUCACUGAUGGGGAUUGAAGGUUCUGAAGUUGUUACGCAAGAGCUUAUAAUCAGUGAAGAAUUGCUUUGAAGCCCAAUGUAAGGAAAUCUGUCCAACCACCAAUGACCGAAAGCAGCAAGAGAGCUCCAGCCACUUUAAAAAACAGGUCCGAGUUCUUCCCUAGUGCAAUAUCCAAAGAAACAGAAGAAAAUGCAUUUACCGGAC